rnacentral:rRNA from 1 species
AGAGUUUGAUCCUGGCUCAGAUUGAACGCUGGCGGCAUGCUUUACACAUGCAAGUCGAACGGCAGCACGGGUGCUUGCACCUGGCGGCGAGUGGCGGACGGGUGAGUAAUACAUCGGAACGUGUCCUGAAGUGGGGGAUAACGCAUCGAAAGAUGUGCUAAUACCGCAUAUACUCUGAGGAGUAAAGUAGGGGAUCGAAAGACCUUAUGCUUUUGGAGCGGCCGAUGUCUGAUUAGCUAGUUGGUGGGGUAAUUGCCUACCAAGGCGACGAUCAGUAGUUGGUCUGAGAGGACGGCCAGCCACACUGGGACUGAGACACGGCCCAGACUCUUACGGGAGGCAGCAGUGGGGAAUUUUGGACAAUGGGCGCAAGCCUGAUCCAGCAAUGCCGCGUGAGUGAAGAAGGCCUUCGGGUUGUAAAGCUCUUUCAGUUGAGAAGAAAAGAUUGUAACUAAUAAUUACAGUUCAUGACGGUAUCAACAGAAGAAGCACCGGCUAACUACGUGCCAGCAGCCGCGGUAAUACGUAGGGUGCGAGCGUUAAUCGGAAUUACUGGGCGUAAAGGGUGCGCAGGCGGUUCUGUAAGUCAGAUGUGAAAUCCCCGGGCUUAACCUGGGAACUGCGUUUGAAACUACAGAGCUAGAGUGUGGCAGAGGGGGGUGGAAUUCCAUGUGUAGCAGUGAAAUGCGUAGAGAUAUGGAAGAACAUCGAUGGCGAAGGCAGCCCCCUGGGUUAACACUGACGCUCAUGCACGAAAGCGUGGGGAGCAAACAGGAUUAGAUACCCUGGUAGUCCAA